CAGCCGCCGCGGGAAUACGAAGGGGGCUAGCGUUGUUCGGAAUUACUGGGCGUAAAGCGCACGUAGGCGGAUAUUUAAGUCAGGGGUGAAAUCCCAGAGCUCAACUCUGGAACUGCCUUUGAUACUGGGUAUCUUGAGUAUGGAAGAGGUGAGUGGAAUUCCGAGUGUAGAGGUGAAAUUCGUAGAUAUUCGGAGGAACACCAGUGGCGAAGGCGGCUCACUGGUCCAUUACUGACGCUGAGGUGCGAAAGCGUGGGGAGCAAACAGGAUUAGAUACCCCUGUAGUCCCUGUCUCUUAUAC
rnacentral:rRNA from 1 species